rnacentral:rRNA from 1 species
UUUUAAAUAUAAUAUUUGAUCCUUUCGUACUAAAAUAUUUAUUGUAUUUAAGAUAGAAACCAACCUGGCUCACACCGGUUUAAACUCAGAUCAUGUAAAAUUUUAAAGGUCGAACAGACCUAAUAUUUUAGCUUCUACACCAAAAAUAAAUUUUAAUCCAACAUCGAGGUCGCAAACCUUUUUUUCAAUAAGAACUAUUAAAAAGAUUACGCUGUUAUCCCUAAGGUAAUUUAAUCUUUUAAUCAUUUAUUUGGAUCAAUAAUUCAAUUAUUAUUGUAAUUAUAUAAAAAAAGUUAAUUUAAUUUUUUUGUCACCCCAACAAAACUUAAAUUAAAUUAAAAAAUUAAAAUUCUAAAAUUAAUAAUUUUAUUGUUAGUUAAACUCUAUAGGGUCUUCUCGUCUUUAAAUUCUAUUUAAGCUUUUUAACUUAAAAAUAAAAUUCUAUAAAUAAAAUUGAAACAGUAAUUUUCUCAUCAAACCAUUCAUACAAGCUUUCAAUUAAAAAACUAAUGAUUAUGCUACCUUUGCACAGUCAAAAUACUGCGGCCCUUCAAAUUUCAGUGGGCAGGCCAAA